rnacentral:rRNA from 1 species
UCAGGAUGAACGCUAGCGACAGGCCUAACACAUGCAAGUCAGGGGCAGCACAAGGAGCAAUCUGAGGUGGCGACCGGCGCACGGGUGAGUAACACGUAUGCAACCUGCCUGUAAGCGGGGAAUAACCCGUUGAAAGACGGACUAAUACCGCAUAAUACUAAAUUACUGCAUGGUAAUUUAUUUAAACAUUUAUGGCUUACAGAUGGGCAUGCGCAUGAUUAGCUAGUUGGAGAGGUAACGGCUCCCCAAGGCAACGAUCAUUAGGGGUUCUGAGAGGAAGGUCCCCCACACUGGUACUGAGACACGGACCAGACUCCUACGGGAGGCAGCAGUGAGGAAUAUUGGUCAAUGGACGAGAGUCUGAACCAGCCAAGUCGCGUGCAGGAAGAAUUGUCCUAUGGAUUGUAAACUGCUUUUGCAGGGGAAUAAAGUGCAUCACGUGUGAUGUUUUGUAUGUACUCUGCGAAUAAGGAUCGGCUAACUCCGUGCCAGCCGCGGC